CACCCGGAGGAAACCCACGCGGACAUGGGGAGAACAUGCAAACUCCACACAGAAAGGCCCUCGCCGGCCCCGGGGCUCGAACCCGGACCUUCUUGCUGUGAGGCGACAGCGCUAACCACUACACCACCGUGCCGCCGUAUGCCUCAUUGUGCAGUAUAUAAAUGCCAAAAUGAUGCUAAAAGGAAGGAUGAGAAGAACUUUUCACCGUUUACCUGGCAAGAAUCGUCUGACUAUUUGCAAGAAAUGGAUUCCUGCCAUAAGAAGACCUCAAAAAAAUCUGCCUGCGGUGCCCUACUUAUGCUUCGAGCAUUUUGAAUCAACCUGUUUCAAUGAAUCGACGGAAUUAAAAGCAAGCUUAAUGGGGGCUUCCAGAAUAAAGAGAGGCUAUGCCGUGCCAACAAUAUUUGCCCAUCGUUCAGCUCCAAAAGUCCGCCGAUGCAGUGUUGAGUGGCAACAGAGACAACACCACCAGGAGGCUCUUCAGCGUAUACUGGAAGAAAUUACGGGCAACAAAGAAAACACCAACGUUAAAGAACAACCAACGACGGAUCAAGAGACGGAGCAUUCGAUUAAGCUUCAGAACGUGAAUUGACCAGAAAGAAGGACAUUGCUGUGCAAACAGAUGAACCAGUCAGUGUCGAAAUCCAAACAGAGACGGUUAUCUUCGAAGACAAGAUUAUCCAGUGGUGUUUGUUGGGAGAUGAAAGCAUUUCAUUAGAUGAUUCGUUCAAACUCUACUAGCAAAACCACGAUCUUGAAGACAAGCUGAAGCCAUCCAUCCAUUAUCUGUAACCACUUAUCCUGUGCAGGGUCGUGGGCAAGCUGGAGCCUAUCCCAGCUGACUACGGGCGAAAGGCGGGGUACACCCUGGACAAGUCGCCAGAUCAUCACAGGGCUGACACAUGGAGACAUACAACCAUUCACACUCACGUUCACACCUACGGUCAAUUUAGAGUCACCAAUUAGCCUUUGAUUUUUAUUUUUUUUUAUUUGUUUAUUCAAUAUUAAAAUGUUAGUGCAAACAUAAUAUAUGGAUGACACAAGAAAGUACAUGUACUUAUUUCCAUUGUGGUCCAUUAUAAAAAAAAAAAUACAAGUAACAUGGUUCACUAGCACCAAUAAAAAAUAGUUAUCCAUUGGUAAGUACAGAGAUAUAUUAAAAGUGGAAAAUUACAUAAAAUACAAAAUGACUGGAUUCUUGACUGUUAAAGGGGAACUGAAGUCAUUUUUAAACUUGCUUUAUUUCUUAAUUAACAUGUUUAUUCAAUUACGUUUUCGGUUUUAGUAACCUUAUAUCGUGACUCGUAACGGCAACUGAUUGCAAUUAAAUAUUAUGCUUAUCGGCCUAUUCGGUUUUUACCCAUGUUGAAUUUAGUUCGUUUGGUCCACGGCGGGCGUCGCUUAUCCGCGCGAUCUUCACGAGACUUGUGUGAGACUUCGAAACGUGAAGCAUCAGCCAGGUGUCAGUGCUGCCAUUUUGAAAACUGUUUCCCAAAUGAAUUAUUGCACAAAAACAAGUUUAAAUGACAAUUACUGCCUACUUUUUUCAAACUUUCCUGAUUGCUAUCAAAACAAACAAAACUUCUGGCUUGAUUACAUCAGCAUUCGAAAGAGGGCGCGCACGUCUUUUGACAACGUUGGCAGGUGUUGGUCACUUUGAUUUCCGCUGUACGUUUUACUUCCAUCCUACGAUGUCUCGCACAGGUCUCAACGAAUCUCGUUUACGGCCAUCGCUUUGACAUAUGGACUGAUGUAUUACAUAGCUUAUUUUCAAACACUCAUAACUUGCUAUAGCAGUGACAAAAUAGCGAUCAAAAAUGCAUUCCUGUAUUUAAUAAAAUGAGAAUUUUGAUAACAAAAAAUUGCCUUCAGUUCUCCUUUAAGACUUUCAAAUAAAACAUUUUAACUAGAAAUUUGAACUGAGAUUUACUCCUAGCGCCUUUGACAUUUGAUGAUAAACCCUUCCAUAAUAAAAUACUAGAAUAAAAGAGUGAUGUUUUACCAUGAGAAUUUACUCUAGAGAUCUGGAAGGAUGUAGCACUAUGUCUUGUGGUAAUUACAUGUUAAUUUGAAUGGGGUCAUCAAAUAGCUUGGUGUAGUUUCGCUGUACAUAUUUAAUUUUAGCUGUUUAACAUGUAAUUCCACUGACAACAUACCAACCACCUCAAACUCCUGAGCACUCGGCCUAACCUGCAUGUCUUUGGACUGUGGGGGAAACCGGAGCACCUGGAGGAAACCCACACAGACAUGGGGAGAACAUGCAAACUCCAUACAGAAAUGUCUUUAUUGGGUACUGGGCUCGAACCCAGAACCUUCUCGCUGUGAGGCAACAGUGCUAACCACUACACCACCAUGCCAUGGUGUAGUGGCACGGUGAAGACAAAUAAUAUUAAUGCAGUGGACAUGUAAGUUUCACAACUUUACAUGUGAAAAUAGAGGCCAGGAUGGAUCACCUUGGAACCCACACCCAAGUUGUGACUGACUUUCGAACUAAUUUAUAACCUUCAUUUGGACUCCCCCCGGCCAAAAAAAAAAGGAGCACCUUUGACUUCAUUCAAAGGAUCUUGUUGAACCUGGGAGUAGGUGACUUAAGGCCAGAACUCCAGAGUUUGAAAAAUGCACUUAAAACAUUAAAAACUCUUCAUUUAG